rnacentral:rRNA from 1 species
CCUACGGGUGGCUGCAGUGGGGAAUAUUGGACAAUGGGCGAAAGCCUGAUCCAGCCAUGCCGCGUGUGUGAAGAAGGCCUUCGGGUUGUAAAGCACUUUCAGUGGGGAAGAAAGCCUUGGGGCUAAUACCCUCGAGGAAGGACAUCACCCACAGAAGAAGCACCGGCUAACUCCGUGCCAGCAGCCGCGGUAAUACGGAGGGUGCGAGCGUUAAUCGGAAUUACUGGGCGUAAAGCGCGCGUAGGCGGUCUGAUAAGCCGGUUGUGAAAGCCCCGGGCUCAACCUGGGAACGGCAUCCGGAACUGUCAGGCUAGAGUGCAGGAGAGGAAGGUAGAAUUCCCGGUGUAGCGGUGAAAUGCGUAGAGAUCGGGAGGAAUACCAGUGGCGAAGGCGGCCUUCUGGACUUACACUGACGCUGAGGUACGAAAGCGUGGGUAGCAAACAGGAUUAGAUACCCUAGUAGUC